rnacentral:rRNA from 1 species
UUGGAGGGCAAGUCUGGUGCCAGCAGCCGCGGUAAUUCCAGCUCCAAUAGCGUAUAUUAAAGUUGUUGCAGUUAAAAAGCUCGUAGUUGAAUUUUAGGCCCGGCCGGGCGGUCCGUCUUUGGCGAGUACUGUCUGUUGUCGGGUCUUCCUUCUGGUGAACCAGUAUGUCCUUUAUUGGGUGCGUUGGGGAGCCAGGACCAUUACCUUGAAAAAAUUAGAGUGUUUAAAGCGGGCUAUUGCUUGAAUAGAUUAGCAUGGAAUAAUAGAAUAGGACGUUGUGGUUCUAUUUUGUUGGUUUCUAGGACCACCGUAAUGAUUAAUAGGGAUAGUUGGGGGCAUUAGUAUUCAAUUGUCAGAGGUGAAAUUCUUGGAUUUAUUGAAGACUAACUAUUGCGAAAGCACUUGCCAAGGAUGUUUUCAUUAAUCAAGAACGAAAGUUAGGGGAUCGAAGACGAUCAGAUACCGUCGUAGUCUUAACCAUAAACUAUGCCGACUAGGGAUCGGAUGAUGUUAAUUUUUUAAUGACUCAUUCGGCGCCUUACGGGAAAC